GCACUGCUGAGGAAUCCCACAACAGGACGAAACGGCCGUCCAGUGU
rnacentral:hammerhead_ribozyme from 1 species